rnacentral:lncRNA from 1 species
CGCUGGGUUCCGCAGUGAGCACGGCGCGGAGAGAGCGGUGCUGCUGGAGAAGGCCUCGCCGGCUGGGGAGGAGGAGGACAGAGAGAGGAGCUGAAGGGACAGUGAGAGGAACUGAAGGAGGAACCGGGAGCAAGCGCGCAGGAAAAGGGUCAGGCCUGGGACUGGCACGAUGGCACUGAAAGAACAACUCAAUUCAGAAUCUUCUGACACUCCAGAACAACACACCGAACACAAAAGAAAUCCAGCUGUCAAGGAAUGUGGACUGCUGCUUCUGUCUGUAUGUCCAUGGUAUUAGAGCGUUCCAGCAGGUUUUAUCGUGAAAGUGUAGACCCAGAUAUAGACAUCAAAAUCAUGUUGCAAGAAAAUAUUUAUGAGAACGGUUUGUCAGCUUGUGAGCGCGUGGGACCCGAGGUAGGACAAACACUUCCUUCUUUUCAGUCAGAGCAUGUUGCUGUUAACAGUGUCUUGUGUGUUACUGUACUUGGCUUUCAUUUUUUGUUUUCACCCUUGUAACCAUGGUACCAAAAAGUAAAUGUGAUGCAUGUGAUGGUGAUGCACCACAUAAAAGGAAAACGAUCACAACUGAAAUUAAAGUAGAAAUAAUAAAGCGAUCGGAAAAAAGGUGAAACA